rnacentral:ncRNA from 1 species
UUAUAAUUUUAUCAUACAAGUUUUAGCUGAUUUAAUUAAAAAGAUCUAUUGUAGUUAUUAAUUUUAAAUUUUCAAUAAAUUGAGAUUUAGGUAUAUAUUAAAGUUCAGACAAAAAUUGUGCCAGCAGUUGCGGUUAGACAUUUUGGGCGAUGUAAUUUUUUUGGUUGUUAGAAAUUGAUAAUUUUUAUUUAAUUUGGAUUUUUAUUAGGUGAAAUUUAAAUUUUCAUAUUAAGUUUUUUUAGAGAUUUUAUUAAAUUUUAUUUUUAAACUAGGAUUAGAUACCCUAUUAUUUUUAACGUAAUUUUUUAAACCUGGUUAGUAUUAGUUAAGUUCUUGAAAACAAAAAAAUUUGGCGGUAUUUUAGUCUUUUCAGAGGAACCUGUCCUAUAAUUGAUAUUCCACGAUAAAAUUUACUUUUUUUAAUUAAUUUGUAUAUCGUCGUGAUUGAUUGUUUUAUGAGAAGAUAAAUGAUCAGGAUUUUUAUUUAAAAGGAAGUCAGAUCAAGAUGCAGUUUAUAGAAAAGAAGAGAUGGGUUACAAUAAGUUAAUUUAUAUGGUGUAUCUUUUUAAGAUUAGAUAUUAAAGUGGAUUUGAAAGUAAUUUUAUUUAAUUAUUUAAGAUGAUUAAGCUCUAAAAUAUGUACAUAUUGCCCGUCACUUUCACCAAAUUGAAAUAAGUCGUAACAAAGUAGGCGUACCGGAAGGUGUGCCUAGAAAGA